rnacentral:ncRNA from 1 species
GUUUCUUGCUGAACCCCACCUCCUCCCGGGGUUUCUGGCAAACGCGGCGGCACUGAUCCUCCUCCCCAGUGCCGCCGCAGCUU